CAGCAGCCACGGGAAUACGAAGGGGGCUAGCGUUGCUCGGAAUUACUGGGCGUAAAGGGCGCGUAGGCGGCGCUCCAAGUUAGGCGUGAAAUUCCCGGGCUCAACCUGGGGACUGCGCUUAAGACUGGAGUGCUUGAGGAUGGAAGAGGGUUGUGGAAUUCCCAGUGUAGAGGUGAAAUUCGUAGAUAUUGGGAAGAACACCGGUGGCGAAGGCGGCAACCUGGUCCAUUACUGACGCUGAGGCGCGAUAGCGUGGGGAGCAAACAGGAUUAGAUACCCGAGUAGUCCCUGUCUCUUAUAC
rnacentral:rRNA from 1 species